UACAGAGGUCCCGAGCGUUGUUCGGAUUCACUGGGCGUAAAGGGUGCGUAGGUGGUGAGGUAAGUCGGAUGUGAAAUCUCCAGGCUCAACCUGGAAAACUGCAUUGGAAAACUACCUUGCUGGAGGAUUUGAGGGGGGGGAUUGGAAUACUUUGGUGUAGCAGUGAAAAUGCGUAGAUAUCAAGUGGAACACCAGUGGCGAAGGCGAAUCCCCUGGAAAAAUACCUGACACUGAGGCACGAAAAGCUAGGGGGAGCAAACAGG
rnacentral:rRNA from 1 species